ensembl:lncRNA
CAGGCUUCUUUUUUUGUAAAUGAUUUUAAUUCUGGUUCAAGGAGACGUGCGGUAGAAUUACACAUCGAUAAUUAAGAUGGUCUGUAGUUGAUGAAAACAAAUGGAAAAAUGAUAAUAAUAAUAAAAACGGAAUUCUCUAUCGAGCACUUACGAUGUUCCAGAGACCGUAUUAAGCAUGCUAGUUUAGUGGCUCAUUGAUCACAGUGGCGGGAAAACGUCAUAUCUGCAUCUUACAAGUGAGGAGACAAUACGUUUUCAUAGCCAGUGAAUGGUAGAGCUGGUAGGAAUUUGCAUCUGGCCAGCCUGAGGGAGUGUGAGCCAUCAUUCCAAACUGCCACUGAGUCUCAGCUCAGACGGGGAUCUAAACAGAAGCUUCUCGGAGCCCCACGUGUGCACACUAUACACUUAAGUCAGUGAACUGUGCAGCAGGCGUUACAGGCCCUGUGAAGAGGGUAAUGUACCCAUUGGAUAUUACUCCAAAAUCAAGUGUGCUUUACAUCCAUGAAUUAGAACCCCAUUUACAGUAAAUAUAAUGAACCCACUGAAUAUCCAUGACUAGCCAGCUUUCUGCAGAGGAAGAUUUAAUAAAAUGUCAUUUUUUAAAUAAAUAUACUUUUUUUCCUAGGAGCCCACAGCUAUUGUUAAAAUAUCUUUAAUCAACUGUCAAGCAGCGGGGUCCGUAAGUCUCCUAUUCAGUAAGAGGGUGGAACUUUCUAUAUACUCAGUGUAAGUAAACUAAACAGUUUUCAAGCUCUACAUGGAAAAUGGCUUUUCCCUGCUUACAUCAAACAAGUCGACAGUUUAUCAACACAUCGCUUCUGAUUAUUUCACGUCUGAGCUAGAGCCAAGGUUUAAAACCCCAGUCUGAGAAACGCGUACAUGCUCUCUUUCUGACGGCGGAAUGAAGGAAAGGUAUGCCAUUCUGACUUCAGCAUACGUCCCCAGGAACGUGUUUACACUGAGAAGCCUGUGGUAUGAUAAAGGUCACUCGGCAGUGUGGCUCUUUCCUCCGUUUGGCAGUGGGAGGCCACGAGAGCCGGAAUUCUCACGAGCAGCAGCGUCUCAGCAGCCCUCGGCAGAGGGACAGACUGGAAGCAGAUGUGGCACAGGUCUCCCCAUGCGGCUUCACUGUGGACUCUCAGGGCAUCUACCCCGGGACUUCCCGCACCAAGAAGACCUUGAGGUGGUCUGCAGAUGCAAACUUAAAGGCUGCCAACAGGAUCUGUUAACAUCCACGAAAGCCAGUACUCAUGGAAGCAAGUAA